GGAAUAUUGGACAAUGGACGAAAGUCUGAUCCAGCCAUGCCGCGUGCAGGAAGAAUGCCCUCUGGGUUGUAAACUGCUUUUAUAUGGGAAUAAACCUCUCCACGUGUGGAGAGCUGAAUGUACCAUACGAAUAAGCACCGGCUAACUCCGGGCCAGCAGCCGCGGUAAUACGGAGGGUGCAAGUGUUAUCCGGAUUUAUUGGGUUUAAAGGGUCCGUAGGUGGGAUUGUAAGUCAGUGGUGAAAUCUUUCGGCUCAACCGGAAAACUGCCAUUGAUACUGCAGUUCUUGAAUAUGCUCGAGGUAGGCGGAAUAUGUCAUGUAGCGGUGAAAUGCAUAGAUAUGACAUGGAACACCGAUAGCGAAGGCAGCUUACCAGAUCAUUAUUGACACUGAGGGACGAAAGCGUGGGGAGCG
rnacentral:rRNA from 1 species